CAGGCUUAGAAUCCCGUAACUUCUUUCUGAUCCCAGGGCCCAUGGUGUCUCUGAAGCUAUUGCGUAGUUACUCCAGCUUACUUUUCUACUGCUGCCAAAGUAACUAGGGGCCAGGAAGAGAGUUCUAUGUAGAAUUCUGAGUGACUUGCUCAUUCUAUUUGAUUAUCUGUGUGUGUGUAUGUGCACUCUUCUUGAUUUGAAAACAAACCUCCAGUCCUCUGUUUGAAUUUAAGCAGCAAUAAACCAAUGACAAUAAUUCCACUCACAUUUGUCUAGAACUCUCCAUUAAGAGGAGGACUGUGGAAGAAAGUCCAACAAAAGGGACUGAAAAGGGACAAUCAGACUGAAGGUUUUGUAACACUCAAGAAGUACAUGAAAGAGGCCUCUUUCAUCAAGUAUUCUUAAGUUAUGAAAAUGGAAUUGAAGCAUAUUUUCCCCCUUCGUAUGAGAGAGAACUUACGUGAAAUCAAGUAUUCGCGAUUUUUCAGAACUGCAUAUGGAGAAGUUGCUGAAAUUCAAUCUUGCUUCCAGAUAAAGUCAGCACAGCAUUACCCAGUUAUUAUGUAGCAUUUCCAUGCAAACUAAUAAAUAGUAUUUCAACUUAAAAUUUCGGUUUUUAAUCUAGAUGUAACUUAAAAACUCUUACAAGUAAAAACUCUUAGAAGUAAGCAUUCUUGUCCAUCAGAAGUUUGUACAGAAAAAGCAAAUUCAAAGGGACAAAUAUGGGCAGUGCCUUCCAGCACUGACAGGGGGAAAAGAUCCUGGCUCAAGAACACAGGUCUCUAGGCAAUGAAGCAAGUGUAUCCCUCAAGAGAGAAGAAUGCAUUAAGUUGUCAUGGCUUUGAAACAUCAGCCAUUUACACCUCCCAACUUAUUCCCCUGGUUCUGAACCCAGAUUCACUUGGUAACCAUUCCAUUGCUUAUAAUUCUUCUUUGCAUAUACUUGUAUCUGUAUCUACAUCUAUACCUACAGGGACAAAAUACAGCAGUCAAUAUAACUCAUUAGCUUGAUGGAUGUAUUUCUUAUUGUAAACUAAUAUAUUGGCAUUCUGAGAUAAAAAAGCUUUUUUAUUCAUGUGAAUAUUGUCAGUGAGAUCAUUUUAAAGUCACAUAACUCUCAGCCACACAUACGGAGGUAGAAGUUCCGUUUCUGGAACAUGAGACUAGAAAUUG
rnacentral:lncRNA from 1 species